rnacentral:ncRNA from 1 species
GGGUGUUAGUCAAUCAAGACAGCAGGAUGCUGAUCAUGGAAGUCAAAUUCUUCUAAAUUAGUGUGUAACUACUUGCUUGCCGACAAGCCCAAAAAAUGGAUGGUGCUGGA